UAAGUGCAAGGCCAUAACCACAUGAGGGACCAAAUGAAUUUGUAAGGUAAAGUUUAAAUGACUUUUUGUAAUUAACAUAUGACCUAUAAUAUGGUAAAUACUGAAUGUUUUUGUAUGUGAAAUAUUAAUUAGGCAUUAUUAGUUUCAUAGAUAGAUAGAUAUAUGGAGAAAUGUGAGAUGAGAGAACAAAGGCAAAGAAUAUGAUCAUAUAAAAAAUAUAACUAGGCCUACAGGAAAAAAAAAAAAUAUAUAUAUAUAUAUAUAUAGUUAUACAUUAUUAGUUCUAUAGAUAGAUAGAUAUAUGGAGAAAUGUGAGAUGAGAGAACAAAGGCAAAGAAUAUGAUCAUAUAAAAAUAUAACUAGGCGUACAAGUAAAAAAAAAAAUAAUAUAUAUAUAUAUAUAGUUAUAGUACUUAACCCGUGAACAGCAGCAGUGAACCCAAAAGAUGAUGAUAAUUUUCCAGUAAAAAUUGGUGCGAUUAUGACCUCUUGUGGUGAUCUGAUGUAAGGUAAACAGGUGAGGUAAGUGAUCAGGUAAGUAUAAUUUUAGCAUUCCAAUUAAAUAGAAAAAAAAAAUUAAUUGUGGUGUCUGUUUAUUCUUUAUUACAGGGCUGAUCAGAUGGGAGCUCUUGGCUGACAGGGACUCAGGUGUCUGAUGUUGAUGCAGUCUGGGCACUAGUGUCUGUUGGGAUGCUGACUAUCAGUAAAGAUGAAGUACUUCUCCAAAUCUUCUCUGCCUUGACCCUGUAACUUCUGGCAUCAUUGUUCAGGGUAGUACUGCAAAGAACAGUCUCCAGGGUUUACCUCAACCAUUUGCU
rnacentral:lncRNA from 1 species